rnacentral:rRNA from 1 species
GACGAACGCUGGCGGCGUGCUUAACACAUGCAAGUCGAACGAGUGGCGAACGGGUGAGUAACACGUGGGUGACCUGCCCUGCACUUCGGGAUAAGCCUGGGAAACUGGGUCUAAUACCGGAUAGUGAGGGAUGGGCCCGCGGCCUAUCAGCUUGUUGGGGGGGUAAUGGCUACCACGGCGCGACGGGUAGCCGGCCUGCGAGGGUGGACGGCCACAUUGGGACUGAGACACGGCCCAGAGUCCUACGGGAGGCAGCAGGGGGGAAUAUUGAACAAUGGGCGGAAGCCUGACGCAGCCAUGCCGCGUGUAGGAAGAAGGCCUUAGGGUUGGAAAGUACUUUCAGCGGGGAGGCGUUACCCGCAGAAGAAGCACCGGCUAACUCCGUGGCAGCAGCCGCGGUAAUUC